AGUUUUGUCCCUACUAUCCUGAAUGCCCCCAAGCUCAUCUGAUCUGGGAAAAUAGGUAGUGUCAGGCCUGGCUAGCAUUUGGUUGGGAAAACAA
rnacentral:rRNA from 1 species